rnacentral:misc_RNA from 1 species
AACAAAAACAAAAACAAAAACAAAGAGAAGCUACAACUUACAAAACUUACAGUAGCUUCCUUCCCUUUGCCUCAAGAAAAGCUGUUUGAAAGACAGCAUAUGAAACAGCUCUUCCUUGAACUAUGAUGGAAGAGAAACAUCAAAGAACCCCAUCUUUACCCAAAAACAAAGAUGGCAAAGACAUUACUAGAUAAUAAGUAGAUUAGAUGAACAAUUAGCGCAGACAAAGGGCUAUCACUCUACUGAUGAUUUCUCUACUGUACAACCACCAGCCUGCCACUAAUCUUCCCUCCA